rnacentral:rRNA from 1 species
ACGAGUUUGAUCCUGGCUCAGGAUGAACGCUAGCGGCAGGCUUAAUACAUGCAAGUCGUGGGGCAGCAGGUUUGUAGCAAUACAGAUGCUGGCGACCGGCAAACGGGUGCGGAACACGUACAGAACCUUCCUUUGAGCGGGGAAUAGCCCAGAGAAAUUUGGAUUAAUACCCCAUAGUAUAAUGAAGUGGCAUCACUUUAUUAUUAAAGAUUUAUCACUCGAAGAUGGCUGUGCGGCUGAUUAGGUAGUUGGCGGGGUAAAGGCCCACCAAGCCUGCGAUCAGUAACUGGUGUGAGAGCACGACCAGUCACACGGGCACUGAGACACGGGCCCGACUCCUACGGGAGGCAGCAGUAAGGAAUAUUGGUCAAUGGGCGAAAGCCUGAAGCAGCAACGCCGCGUGUGCGAUGAAGGCCUUCGGGUCGUAAAGCACUUUUCUAAGAGAUGAGAAAGGACAGUAUCUUAGGAAUAAGUCUCGGCUAACUACGUG